AUAGAUGAUGAGGUAGAUAGGAUGGAAGUGGAAGUGCCGUGAGGCAUGGAGCGGAACAUUACUAAUCGGUCGAGGACUUAACCAAG
rnacentral:rRNA from 1 species